CCUUCCAUGCAGCCAAUAACUCACUGCUGCCUUCCAGAGACCAGGCAAGCUGAGGAUACAGUGCAUGGCACAAGGAUUUUUCUGCAAAUUGCCGGUGGGGAAUGCUACUGAGGCUGAUCCUGCUUACUCCAAGAGCUUGUGGCUGCAUGGAGCAUGUGCCACUGGUGGUAGCUGUUCUUGCAUCUGGUGACUGAAAGGGUUAAGCUAAGCAGCUGCCUGGAUGGAGCUCCUGCAUGGCCUCGCUUCCCUCUGGGGUGGCUGCUCUUGGCAAUGAUUCCCUCCUCACGUUUUCACAGCCAGAGCUGAGCUUAGGUGUGCAGAUCUUCCAUCUGGAGGAAGGACUUCUGCCUGUUUCAGCUGAAAUGAGCACUUGGAGUAUGCUGGGCACCAGGAGAUCCUGCUGGCAGCAUGAUCUUAAAAAGGAACACUUACCACAAAGUGUCUGGAGCGCAAGGUGUGCUGAGGCGAAAGUGAAAACCUGCCCGCUGGCAUGGCCUUUCCCAUCAGCCCGGCGUCUUUGCUGGAGAGAAGAGGAUUGUCCAGGAAAACACCUUGACAGCAGCCCAGCAGUUCACAGUCUGGAUCAAAGAGCUGCGGGAUCAGCUGCCACUCAUCCUGCAGCAAGCUGCUCUGGCCCUGUCCUGGGAGCCCAGGCUUUGCAAGAAGUUGCUGGAGGUGGAGAGGUGCUGAAAUACCAAAUGGUGGAUCUCCAGCAGACACUGGAAAAGGCUUUCCCUGUCUUCAAGACCGACGUGAAAUGGACCCUGCGGUAUCUGAGAUGUUCAGGGAGCUCAAGGCUGUGAGUGACAAAGGGACUGUGACUCUGGCACCAUGGUUGGAGCCAGUGUGUCUGUCUGUCUGCAGUGAGUGGCAAGGCAGUGCAGCCACCAAGACCAGGAGAAAGUGCAUGCUGUGGCCUUGGCAGAAACCUCUUUAAGAGCAUGACUGAUUCUUAUCCAGAAUUUAUUUAAUGUCCUGGGUCCCCUUGUUACCCUUCAUCAGCUUCCCACCACCCUGGACCAAACGCCGCUCACUGCAAGUAUCUUCCCCCAGCCUCUG